rnacentral:snRNA from 1 species
AUCGCUUCUCGGCCUUUUGGCUAAGAUCAAGUGUAGUAAGAAUCUCUGGGUAUGUGCUGGGGCACAUAGAGCACAGCAAAUGUUUUCCAUUAUAUUAAUAAAAGCUUGGAAGCAAUAUAAAAUUUUCUAAAAGAAAAAUAACUACUUCAUUUUAUUAUAGCUCUACCAGAUACCCUAA